rnacentral:pre_miRNA from 1 species
AUGCUACUCCCUCUGUUCAGAAUUACUCGUCCAAGAAAUGAAUGUAUCUAAAUGUAUUUUAGUUGUAGAUACAUUCAUUUUUGUGACAAGUAAUUCCGAAUGGAGGGUGUAUUUU